rfam:Ictidomys tridecemlineatus contig096904, whole genome shotgun sequence.
GAGGAUGUAGCUCAGUGGUAGAGCACUUGCUUAGCAUGUCACGAGAUUCUAGGUUCUAUCCCUAGCAACACCA